AGUUUGAUUAUGGCUCAGGAUGAACGCUAGCUACAGGCUUAACACAUGCAAGUCGAGGGGCAGCAUGAGAUUAGCUUGCUAAUCUUGAUGGCGACCGGCGCACGGGUGAGUAACGCGUAUCCAACCUUCCCCCUACUCAGGCAUAGCCCGGUGAAAACCGGAUUAACUCCUGAUAGUGUCACUAGAUGGCAUCUGACGGUGAAUAAAGCUCAGCGGUAAGGGAUGGGGAUGCGUCUGAUUAGCUUGUUGGCGGGGUAACGGCCCACCAAGGCGACGAUCAGUAGGGGUUCUGAGAGGAAGGUCCCCCACAUUGGAACUGAGACACGGUCCAAACUCCUACGGGAGGCAGCAGUGAGGAAUAUUGGUCAAUGGGCGCGAGCCUGAACCAGCCAAGUAGCCGUGCAGGAAGACGGCCCUAUGGGUUGUAAACUGCUUUUGUGCGGGAAUAAAGUCAGGGACGUGUCCCUGUUUGCAUGUACCGCAAGAAUAAGGACCGGCUAAUUCCGUGCCAGCCGCGGC
rnacentral:rRNA from 1 species